rnacentral:tRNA from 1 species
GCCUGUUUUGCUUAGUGGAUGGAGCAUCAGUCUGCGAACUGAAGGGUCCCUGGUUCGAUUCCAGUUGGGGGCA